UACAUAAUGUGUGUGAAUAAAUUGCAUCUUUGGUUGUAUCUUGCAAAACAUGUCAUACUUUAAAACAUUGUAUUCCACCAAAAUUAUUUAAAUAUGUUAAACUAUACGUUCCUAUACAUGCAAUUUUAAUAGCUGUAUGCCUAAAAUUUAAUUAUGUGACAAUGUGAUUACUAUUCAGCGUGUUAUGAUCUAUUAAAUGCGCUGAUCCUUUAUUGUGCCUGCCAAAUAUAUAAGGCUGAGUGGAGUGGUAUACCGCUCCAAGAUGGCCGCCCUAAAUCUCGUCAGCUCCAAUAGGCGAGAGCGGCCCAUGAGGCGUCUAUCCAUAUAUUAUGUCUAUGCUUGGAACUAGCA